CCUCUAAUAGCUCACUUGGUAAAGCACUCGUCUAGUGAACGAAAGGUCUCCAGUUCGAUUCUGGGUGGAAGCA
rnacentral:tRNA from 1 species